rnacentral:rRNA from 1 species
UGGGGAAUAUUGCACAAUGGGCGAAAGCCUGAUGCAGCAACGCCGCGUGAGGGACGACGGCCUUCGGGUUGUAAACCUCUUUUAGCAAGGAAGAAGCGAAAGUGACGGUACUUGCAGAAAAAGCGCCGGCUAACUACGUGCCAGCAGCCGCGGUAAUACGUAGGGCGCAAGCGUUAUCCGGAAUUAUUGGGCGUAAAGAGCUCGUAGGCGGUUUGUCGCGUCUGCUGUGAAAACCCGAGGCUCAACCUCGGGCCUGCAGUGGGUACGGGCAGACUAGAGUGCGGUAGGGGAGAUUGGAACUCCUGGUGUAGCGGUGGAAUGCGCAGAUAUCAGGAAGAACACCGAUGGCGAAGGCAGAUCUCUGGGCCGUAACUGACGCUGAGGAGCGAAAGGGUGGGGAGCAAACAGGCUUAGAUACCCUGGUAGUCCACCCGUAAACGUUGGGAACUAGUUGUGGGGUCCAUUCCACGGAUUCCGUGGACGCAGCUAACGCAUUAAGUUCCCCGCCUGGGGAGUACGGCCGCAAGGCUAAAACUGCAAAUGAAUUGAC